CCUGCCCGCGCACCGGGAGUACGCUCUGGAAACGGAGAACAAAUCCCGAUGUACAGGAAGGAGGCAUCUUCUUUCUGUGAAACAUCCUCCAGGGGAUGGGGCGCGGAUGGACCUGCGGUGCAUUAGUUUGUUGGCGGGGUAAAGGCCCACCAAGACGAUGAUGCAUAGCCGGCCUGAGAGGGCGGACGGCCACAUUGGGACUGAGACACGGCCCAGACUCCUGCGGGAGGCAGCAGUAGGGAAUUUUCGUCAAUGGGCGCAAGCCUGAACGAGCGAUGCCGCGUGAGUGAAGAAGGCCUUCGGGUCGUAAAGCUCUGUUGCGGGGGAAAAAAGGCAGCAUCAGGAAAUGGGUGCUGACUGAUGGUGCCCCGCCAGAAAGUCACGGCUAACUACGUGCCAGCAGCCGCGGUAAUACGUAGGUGGCGAGCGUUAUCCGGAAUGAUUGGGCGUAAAGGGUGCGCAGGCGGUCCUGCAAGUCUGGAGUGAAACGCAUGAGCCCAACUCAUGCAUGGCUUUGGAAACUGGAGGACUGGAGAGCAGGAGAGGGCGGUGGAACUCCAUGUGUAGCGGUAAAAUGCGUAGAUAUAUGGAAGAACACCAGUGGCGAAGGCGGCCGCCUGGCCUGUUGCUGACGCUGAGGCACGAAAGCGUGGGGAGCAAAUAGGAUUAGAUACCCUAGUAGUCCACGCCGUAAACGAUGAGGACCAAGUGUUGGGGGUGAAACCUCAGUGCUGA
rnacentral:rRNA from 1 species